CUUCCCUUUCCCCUUGCCAAAUCCCUAUUUCCUAUCUUCCUCAAGCAAAUUGCAGCUUUCACCAACUCCCUCAACAUUGCCGAUGUCACAUGCUUGCUCCCUCAAAGUCAUCGUCGCCGCAUCCUUACUGCCUCAACGUCCGCCGUCGUCGCGUCCUUACUGUCUCAACGCCGACGUCGCCUUGUCCUUGCUGCCUCAACGUCGUCUCCGCCACGUCCUUGCUACCUCAACGCCAUUGCCGCAGCCUCCUGCUACCUCAACGCGACUGCUGCCUCUUCCAAGUAGUUCGCAACCUCUCUUCCAUCUCAUAGUGAGUUUAUGUUUUGAAGUUAUAUAUGUUUAUAUAUGUAUUGUGUGUGUGUGUGUGGCCAGGCCUUUAAUUUAUGAUCUAAAUGUUUUUUUAGCCUUCAUUUAUGUAUCUUUUUCAACGUUUCCUGAAGCAUUGGUAGUUGGGUAUUAUGGCUCCCACUUUCAAUUACUUUAGAAACCCAUUCCUUGUCAUGGAGCAGUGGGAGGGGGAUAUCAAAGCAAUUUAUACCUAAUAAUCAAGUGUUUUUUUAUAAAAUAAUAAAAAAUUCAGUCAAUUCAUGCUAGACCCAAAAACAAUUCUAAGAGAGAAAAAGACAACUGGAAGUAAAGUAACAAACUGAAAAUAUAUAUUAGAUAUAUAUAACUUGGAGAUAGAAAGAGUGUGUGAAAAUAUCAUGUAUUGGUUGAUGUAAUUUGGAUGAAAAAUAGUUUGACAGGAAAAUGGCAAAGAAAAAGCUAUAUUUAAAAGAGAGACACACACUGCCACGCUCUGCUAGUGCUCUCUCUAGCUAAUAUAUAUACAUAUACAUAUAUAUAUUUAUAUAUAGAGAGAGAGAAGCUAGCUGGCUGCUAGCUGAGAGCAGCCUUUUUUUUUACUUGCAAAAUUGUUGUUGAUAUAUAUACAUAUCUCUCUCUAUAUAUGUAUUUUGUGUUUGUGUGUGUGUGGGGGGGGGGGGCUUCAAUUUAUGAUCUAAAUGCUUAUCUAGCCUUCAUUUUUGGUAUUUUUUUAUGUUUCCUGAAGCAUUAGUAUUGAACCUAUUUAAUUUCUUGGUCUUUUUUUGUAGAUAUCUUUUUUGGAAAUCUUGUUAUUUGAAAAGGAAAAUGAUGGAUAGAAAUUGGAUGAAUGAACAUAGAGUUAGUAAAAGGUACAUUGAUGGAGUGGAAGAAUUCUUAAGUUUGGCAUUUGCUAAAGCAAAUAUCAAUGGAAAAAUAACAUGCCCAUGUAAGAAGUGUGGGAAUGGACUGUGGGCAACUAGGUAAGAGGCAAAAGAUCAUUUGAUAUGCUUUGGGUUUAUUAAAGGAUAUACAAAAUGGACAGCCCAUGGAGAAGGUUCAUCAUUUGUGGGAUCUGAAACACAUGCUCCUAAUGACCUAUUUAUGAAUGAUGAGAUGCAUGAGUUAUUAUAUGAUGCAUUUGGCAUCCCAAAUGAACAUGUAAAUGACGAUGACCCAAUGAAUAUUGUAGAAGAAUCUAAUGAAAUGACUGAGACAUUUUAUAAGUUGCUUCAUGAAGCUAAACAAGAACUCUUCCCCGGGAGUAAGUUUUCAUUGUUAUCAUUUCUUGUUCGCCUAUUUCACAUUAAAUGUCUUGGAAAUUGGUCAAACAAGUCAUUUUCAAUGUUAUUGGAGUUGUUAAAGGAUGCAUUUCCUGAGGGGGGGCAAAUUACCAAAAUCUUACUACAAGACAAAGAAAGUGUUUAAGGGACUUGGCCUUGAGUGUAGAAAAAUCCACGCAUGUCCAAAUGAUUGCAUAUUUUAUCAUAAGGAAUAUGAGACAGCCACAGAAUGUUAUCAAUGUCAGACUCCUAGAUACAAAAUACCUACAAAUAGGUUGCAAAUUAAAUGAUGGAGAAAUGAGCAUAGAUACAAGUGAGACAAAAAUCCUUGCUAAGGUAUUAUUCUAUUUCCCAUUGAAACCAAGAUUGCAAAGGCUAUUCGUGUCUUCAAAAAUUUCCUCCUUUAUGAAAUGGCAUAAGGAGGACCGAAUUAAAGAUGGAUACAUGCGGCACCCGGCAGAUUCUCUAUCUUGGCAGACUUUUGACUUCAAGCAUCCUGAGUUUUCUAAAGAUCCACGUAAUGUUAGACUUGGAUUAGUAUGUGAUGGAUUUAACCCAUUUAGGACAAUGAGUAGUACUCAUAGUACUUGGCCAGUUAUCCUAAUGCCAUACAACCUCCCUCCUUAGAUGUGUAUGAAACAACCUUUUCUCAUGUUAUCGUUGCUCAUCCCUGGCCCUUCACCACCUGGAAAUAACCUUGAUGUAUACUUACAACCUUUGAUAGAGGACUUAAAGGAAUUAUGGGAUGGGGUAAACACAUAUGAUGUAUCUACUAAGGAAAAUUUUAAAAUGCGUGCAACUAUUAUGUGGACUAUUAGUGACUUGCCUGCCUAUGCUAACUUAUCUGGAUGGAGCACAAAAGGAAAGCUUGCUUACCCCUCAUGUCAUAAGUAUACAUGUUCUGAACGAUUGCAAAAAAGUGGGAAAUCAUGUUACAUGGGUCAUCGAGGAUUCUUGGAUGUUGAUCAUGCCAGUACGUCAAAAAUCUUUGUUCGAAAUCACUCCACUCUGUUGAUUUGGUUCAAAUGGAAUACCAAAUUGCAUUAAUACUUUAUCACCUAGAAAGGAUUUUCCCUCCAUCAUUCUUUGAUGUUAUGGUGCAUUUACCGAUUCACUUAGCAACAAAAGCUAAACUUGUUGGGCCUGUGCAUUAUCGUUGGAUGUAUCCUAUUGAGAGGUAAGUAAUACUCAUUGCUUCUAAUUUGUCAAAUUUUAUUUAGAUAUCAUUCCUUUGAAAGAAAACAUAAUCACUUUUUCAUCAUUGGGCUUCUUAUAGGUACUUGUCCACAUUAAAGUCAUAUGUAAGAAACAGAUCUCAUCCAGAGGGUUCCAUUGCUGAAGGUUAUUUAGCAAAUGAAUGUUUAACCUUUUGUUCUAGAUAUUUUGAUGACACUGAAACCAAAUUCAAUUGGCCAAGUAGAAAUUCUAAUGAAAGAAAUGUUAGCAAUGUUGAGUUACCAAUAUUUGCAAUGCAAGGACAAUCAUUUGGAAAAGAAGAGAUGGUUGUUUUAAAUAGAGAAACAUUAGAAAUGGCACAUAAAUAUGUGUUGUUUAAUUGUGACGCAAUUCAAGAAUUUAUUCAGUAAGUCAAUAAUUAUUUUUCAUUAAUUUUAAUAGAGUAUAAAUAGCUCUUUUGUAUCCUUAUAUUCUACUAUAUGCAUAGACAACAUGAGACUAUAAUAAACAAUCAAUAUCCUCGUCUUUCUAAAUGACAAAGGGCUAUUAAACACAUCGAGGAAUUUACUUCAUGGUUUAGUGACACAGUAAGUUUUUAUUCCGUAACCUUGGUUUCAAUUUUUUUAAUUUAUUUAUUUAUUUUUGUUUUCAUAAUCUGAUCCUUCAUUUAUUUAGGUUGGAGAAAUGUUUCCUGCUGGAAAUGAGGAUAUAUCUGAAGAGCUUCGAGCUCUUACUCAAGGUCCUAAUUGUGUUGCAAGAAAGUACAAGGGUUUUAUUAUUAAUGGUUUUAGAUUUCGUGUGAAAGAAGUUGAGGAAAAGAGAAAAACUCAAAAUAGUGGGGUUAUUGUUACUGCCAAGACAGAAAGUUAUGCUAGUGUGAGGGAUAACAACCCCAUAUUAGGAGAUGUCACAUAUUAUGGAGUUCUGAAUGAUAUUUUAGAGUUAGAUUAUCUCAGUGGUAAAAAAGUGACGCUAUUCAAUUGUGAUUGGGUUUCUCAAAGAAACGGAAAGAAAGAAAAUGAUGAUGGUUUCACCUUAGUCAAUUUCACUAGACUCAUGCCCACAGAUGAGCCAUUUAUUUUAGCUUCUCAAGCAUAACAAGUGUUUUAUGUGGAAGACCCUACAGAAAAAGACUGGCAUGUUGUAAUAAGAACCACACCUAGAGACCAAUUUGAUCAAAAAGUCAAUUCAUGUGAGGAUGAUAUAGAGACUCAACUGCAAAGCCAUGCAUACAAUCCUCAAAUUCAAGAUGGUGACAUCAAUGUUGAUAUUACAUGGGCUAGGGAGCAUGACGAAUUUGAUGCUUAUGGUUGAUAUGGUUCAUUAUUAUUUUUUUAUGUUAUAACUUUGUGCAACUUUCAAUUCUAUGCUUUUCUAAAUUGAGUUUGUAGUUUUUAAUGCUUUCUCCUUUGGGUUUUAUGCACAAUUAAUUCAUUUUUCAUUAUAGAAAACUAUAUAUCAAGAUUGUGUUGUCUUAAUUAGCUAUUUCAAUUAUCUAAAUACUAUUUGUGUGUUGUUCCAUUAGUUUGGUACAUAGAAUCAUUGUUAUAUAACAGUGAGCAUUGCUACAUUCACACAAAUUCAUCUUGAUGGCACCAAAGACUAGAAUUGGAUGUAUGUUUGAUGGGUUGGACUCAAACCAGUCAAGAAGAGAUUUAAGCAACACUCAAACCAAUACAGUCUCAGGUAAUCUAUCAACUUUUCUAAUUCAGCUUUGCUCAUUUCAUUUUAUACUUCUAUAAUGUUUUGGAAUAGACAAUGGUAUCAAGAAGAAUGUACAAGGGCCAACAUUUAUGAGAAAAAUUUGGGCUAGAGAUAAGCAAGAGGCUAUUCAAGUUGAAUUUAAUGACCUAGGGCAACCUAUUGAUGAAAAGUCAUCAAGUGAAUUAUCUCACUUCUUGGAAACUAUAGCACGCAAUGGAAGAUACGCACCAUUACAUUAUAAGAAUUGGAUCAAAGUACCUCAAACUUAUAAAAAAGAGAUGUUGACCCAAGUUCAGGUAUUGGUGUACUUCGUUCUUUAUAUUAUAACAAUAUUGUAUAAUAUCAUUGUUCUUACUUAUUCUUCUAUCAAAUUGAUUUGUCUUUUUUUUUUGGAAAAGUUUCAACUUCCUCCUGGUCAAUAGGAUUGGAUAUUGAAAUCCAUCGCCAAAAAGUGGAGAAAUUGGAAAUCUUUCAUGAAAACAAACUAUUAUGAUCCAAAUGCAUCUCUUGUUGAACAAAUGAAAAAUGUUCCUGAAAGAGUUCUUGAAGACCGAUGGAAGGAGUUGGUAACUUUUUGGAAUUCUGAUGCAUCAAAGGUGUGUGUAAAGUUAUACUUUAACUCGUGGUAUUUUUCAAUUAAUUACUCUUACAAACUUUGCCAUGUAUUCUAGAGAGUUAGUGAUAGGAAUAAAGUGAGUCGAGGACAUCAAAAAAUGGUACACCGAAACGGUAAGAUGAGUUUCGCUAGAGUGGCAGAGAAAAAGGUAACUUCUACUUCCUUUCAAAAUGCUAUGUAUAAUUGAAUUUUAAUGAAAUAAAUAUUAUUUUUGUUUCUCAUUAAUUAUAUUUGUCAUGAUUGGAAGUAUUCAAUUUUAUAUCUUUGUUUAACUAUUAUAUAAUAUAUAAAUAUUUACAUUGUAUGCAAAAAAAGGAACUUGGCUAUUACCCAUCAUGCUCUACCUUGUUCAUUAAGUGUUCUCAAAAGGUGAAACUCCGAGAAAUGAGGCAGCUAGUCAAGCAAUGGUAAUAGUUAAAUAAAAAUAAUAAUAAUUUAUUUGUCCAUUUGUUUAUAUUUAUUCUUUGAAUAUAUUUUUUUUUUUUUUGUAGGAAGCAAUGCGUGAGGUAACUAUUAAUGCUCCAGAAGGUCCACGAAAUGACCGAAAUGAAAAUGAUAGUUACUCUCAAGUUAUGGGAAAGGAGAAAGGUGGGCAUGUACGUAUGUAUGGCUUAGGUGUUUGUCCUUCAGAUCUUUAUGGUCCAACACCUAGUCGUGCAACGUCUCAUAGGCUUGCUAUGAGUUAUAAGAAUGAAUUGGAGAUAAUGAAGGAACAAUACAUGAAUAUGAAUGAGCAGCUACAAGAAUUGAGAGCUAUGUGCAUGGAAAAUAGAGAAACACCUAGUAAUAGUCAUCCUAUGCCAUCUUCAAACCCUUCUAAUCUUGUGUCAUCUCUUCAGAGCAAUAUGGGUUUUUCUUCACCAACUUCAACUCGCCAACCAAUUUGAGUACAUAUUCAAGUGGCAGUAGAGUGGGAUGAAGAAUUGAUAAGAAGAUAUGGAAUGUUUGAAACCAUUGGAGAUGCCCUUGGAACACAUGUUGCAUGGCCAUUGUUCUUGGUUGAACGUGAUGAAAGUGAUUAUAGUUCAAUAGAUCAUGGAGAUUAGUUUUUUUUUUGUGUGUGUGUUAUAAUGGAUGACAAAUGACAAUAAUUGUUAGAUUUAUGGAUUUUUGGAGUAAUUCUUUUUUUGACAAAUCAAUCAUAGACCAUGGAGGUAUUGGUUUUGUAUAUGUAUAUGUGAAGUGGUU